CUUGUCUUUAUGUCUAUAUGCAGAGUCUAGAACUCAAACUAAUUGAUGCAUUAAUUGCCCAAAGCAGACAUUGAUUUUUUGUGGGGAGGGAGCAAUCAUACUUAUGUAACUAGCCAUGCUUGUCUUUAUGCCUAUAAGCAGAGCUUCGAACUCAACUAAUUGAUGCAUUAAUUGGCCAAAGCAGACAUUGACCUUUUUUUCUUUUUCUUAACAGGAUAGGCCAGUCCAUGCUCAAGGAGCCAUUUUGACAUCAAUCAUGUAGAUUAUAUCAAUCGCCUAUGUUUUCUACCAGAAAAUAACUUUGCAGCAUGCAUUUGUCAACAAAAAUGUCAAAAGGAAAAAGCUAAAUGCCUCAACCUAAUUCACUAAUCAAGAAAACUAAC
rnacentral:lncRNA from 1 species